AACAUCUACACAGAAAUUCUUUCUAGCUAUUUGACAAUCUUUAAACGAAUGAUAAAGUUUGUUACAAAAAGCAUAAAUUUCUUUCUCCCUAUUAUGAUAUAAGAAACCAAACAUGAUAGUAAAACUUCAAUUCUUCAGACCGCUUGCUAGGACACGUCUGUAUUUGAAUAAGACAGUUCAUAAAAUAAACAAGAAGUGAUUUUAAAAUGAGUAAUCAAUUCCAGGAAAGAAGGUUUUUGGGUGGUUCCGACGAUUUUUUUCAGGAAGAAGAGCUUCGAUGGAAGAAGAAGUGCCGGCACCAGCGGUGAGGUCGUCAACCACAUAGCAUGUGACCUUAGUGGAUCCGCCGGUGGCUGUGCGGCCCAACCCCAGUGGCACGUACACUUCUCAGAAAACAUCGACCUGCGGGUCUUCGAGAAUCCUGACGAUACCGAGCCUCUGUCCGUCUGAGAAUGGGAAACCCGCCGGCGGUUGCGCAGGAUGCGCCAGCUCAAAUGUGAGCGCAGGGAAAGAUGUAGGCGCGAGCUUGCUUCGCAAGCGUUUACGCAAGUACCUACGUGAACGCGUGCGCAAGCAUUAGCCCUGGAGCCUUCUUUAGCCAACCUGGGCGAGGGUUCUGAACUUUUUGGGUUUUAGGAUGCUGCUGUACAACAUUUUAAAACCCAUUUCCUUUUAUUACAACAACAUUACCAGAAUCCUCGGGGACCGGAAUAUGGACAAUGCUUUCUCAUCCAAAACAGUGUACUGUUUUAGGAUGAGAAUGACAUCUUACAUCCACUGUUCAUACUCGGCUGUGAUUCUCGAAUCAUGUUCCAUCUUAUAGACCCGCUGGAUUCGGAAAAUGACAUUUUAAAACCUCUUGGGAGUCGACUACUACCGGAAUUGACUGGACUUGACAACCCGGAUUUAACAGGACAUGACUUAACCUGGUCGGGCGUGGCCCUCCUGGUUUGUUUUUGGUUCUCGGAUUUGACUGUAGCACGUACUUACUGCGUUAGCAAUAAACUUUGUUGAUGCUUUCUAGGAUUGGUUUGUUUUUCUAGGCUAUUCGUGCUCUCUUUCAGCUAGUUUUUCAUGUUUGUUUAAGAUGUUAGAUUAGCUUAGGGAUGUGAUAGGUUAGAUUCAUUUAGACUCCGUUUAUUACCUUUUCUGUUGUUCUCUCCGGGUAGGGGUUGUAUGGCUACUCCUCCUGGAUUGUUUGUUUAUUGAUUACAUUUUAGGUUAGACUUCUAUAGUGUAAAAAAGUGCCAGCGUAGCUUGAGUACGUUUUAGGUUAGAUAAUGUAGGUUUGAUUAGGAUUUAUUAAGUUGUUUCAAUUUCGUUUUUUUACUAGGGGGCGAUCAUAAAGCUACUCCUCCUUUAGGUCUUAUGAUCCGCCCAGCCACUGUACCGAUGGUUUGGAGGAGUG
rnacentral:lncRNA from 1 species